rnacentral:rRNA from 1 species
UACGUAGGGUGCGAGCGUUGCCCGGAAUUAUUGGGCGUAAAGAGCUUGUAGGCGGUUUGUCGCGUCUGCUGUGAAAUUUCGGGGCUCAACCCCGAACUUGCAGUGGGUACGGGCAGACUAGAGUGUGGUAGGGGAGACUGGAAUUCCUGGUGUAGCGGUGAAAUGCGCAGAUAUCAGGAGGAACACCGAUGGCGAAGGCGGGUCUCUGGGCCAUAACUGACGCUGAGGAGCGAAAGCGUGGGGAGCGAACAGG